UGCCUAGUAGUAUGGGAUAGCCACUAGAAAUGGUGGGUAAUACUGUAUAAUCCCUGCGGGGGAAAGAUUUAUCGCUACUGGAUGAGCCUAUGUUAGAUUAGCUAGUUGGUGGGGUAAUGGCCUACCAAGGCUGUGAUCUAUAGCUGGUCUGAGAGGAUGAUCAGCCACACUGGAACUGAGACACGGUCCAGACUCCUACGGGAGGCAGCAGUGGGGAAUAUUGGACAAUGGGCGCAAGCCUGAUCCAGCUAUGCCGCGUGAGUGAGGAAGGCCUUAGGGUUGUAAAACUCUUUCAGCAGGGAAGAUAAUGACGGUACCUGCAGAAGAAGUCCCGGCAAACUCCGUGCCAGCAGCCGCGGUAAUACGGAGGGGGCAAGCGUUGUUCGGAAUUAUUGGGCGUAAAGGGCAUGUAGGCGGUUUGGUAAGUUAAAGGUGAAAUGCCAGGGCUUAACCCUGGAGCUGC
rnacentral:rRNA from 1 species